CCUACGGGCGGCAGCAGUGGGGAAUAUUGCACAAUGGGGGAAACCCUGAUGCAGCGACGUCGCGUGAGUGAUGAAGUAUUUCGGUAUGUAAAGCUCUAUCAGCAGGGAAGAAAAUGACGGUACCUGACUAAGAAGCCCCGGCUAACUACGUGCCAGCAGGCGCGGUAAUACGUAGGGAGCAAGCGUUAUCCGGAUUUACUGGGUGUAAAGGGAGCGUAGACGGGGGUGCAAGCCAGAUGUGAAAGCCCUGGGCUCAACCCCGGGACUGCAUUUGGAACUGUGCUGCUAGAGUGUCGGAGGGGCAGGCGGAAUGCCUAGUGUAGCGGUGAAAUGCUUAGAUAGUAGGAGGAACACCAGUGGCGAAGGCGGCCUGCUGGACGAUGACUGACGUUGAGGCUCGAAAGCGUGGGGAGCAAACAGGAUUAGAUACCCCGGUAGUC
rnacentral:rRNA from 1 species